rnacentral:rRNA from 1 species
UGGCUCAGGAUGAACGCUAGCGGCAGGCCUAAUACAUGCAAGUCGAGCGGCAAGUUGAGUAGUAAUACUUGACCUAGAGCGGCGCACGGGUGCGUAACGCGUAUGCAACCUACCUUUUACUGGGGGAUAGCCCGGAGAAAUCUGGAUUAACUACCCCAUGGUAUCUACGAAUCGAAUGUUUUGUAGCUUAAAGAUUUAUCGGUAAAAGAUGGGCAUGCGUCUGAUUAGCUAGUUGGCGGGUAACGCCACCAAGGCGACGAUCAGUAGGGGUUCUGAGAGGAAGGUCCCCCACAUUGGUACUGAGACACGGACCAAACUCCUACGGGAGGCAGCAGUGAGGAAUAUUGGUCAAUGGGCGAGAGCCUGAACCAGCCAAGUAGCGUGAAGGAUGAAGGUCCUAUGGAUUGUAAACUUCUUUUAUAGUAGAAUAAAGUGAGCCACGUGUGGUUUUUUGUAUGUAUACUAUGAAUAAGGAUCGGCUAACUCCGUG